CAGGAGUCUCCCAGAAAGCUGAGGAGCUGUGGCAGCCUGGAGGCGUCUCUCAUGAAGGGAUUGUGUGAGAUGCGGUUCUGGGGAGAUGGCUACAGAUUCAUAGAAGACGCCACAGCCUCUAGUAGAGUCUUGGCUAUCCACUCCAGUAUCUAAGUUGUAGUGACUUGCUCUGAGCGCAGGCCCUUUCCUUGAUGAAGUCUGGUAUGGCUACUCUACUGUGUUCUUCAUUUCAUCAGAGUUCAAGAGUAACACUUUUGAAAGGGCUAUAGUACCCAUGCUUCAAAGUGAGCCAAGGGAAUGUGGACUUGUGCCAGCUAGACCCCACGGGUACCGAAUGAAAGGUUGUUCCAGUGACCGAGAUCAUCUCAGAGACGGAGACAGGAGGCUUGGCCCCAGGACGGACCCACAAGGGGAAAACAUUCUCUCUCCAUCGCUCACAGGAGCACAAGGAAGGACUGAGGUCAUGAGUUCAUUUAAAAGUGCAAUAUGACCACUUUACUCUUACUUCCCACCUGUCUCUAAAUGAGAGAUGGUUCUGACAUUUUUUUAUUUUGCUUUUGAUAGCUCCGUUGAGUGGCACCUGCCCUGCUAUGCCACUCCAGAGAAUAAACUAAAGCACGGCAGGUCUCUAGCUCAGAAUGGCUUUGAAUUUGCGGUGUAGCUGAGGAUGACCUUGAACUAAUCAUCCUCUGCCUCCCUCUCCCAGUGCUAGUGACUCCAACUGCGCUUUUCUGUAUAAUCUUCUCUAUACAAGGGUGCUUUAUCUCUCCAGCUCUUCCACAUCUGCAUUCUACCUAAUGGGAUGGCCUUUCCUAUUCAAGAUAAUCAAGACUGUUUGUUAAUCAACGUAACUGACAAUAUCAAAACCAAUACAAUUCUAAAAUAA